rnacentral:rRNA from 1 species
AUUGAACGCUGGCGGCAGGCCUAACACAUGCAAGUCGAGCGAGCGGCGGACGUGUGAGUAAUGUCUGGGAAACUGCCUGAUGGAGGGGGAUAACUACUGUAAACGGUCGCUAAUACCGCAUACCAUCUGAUUUGCCCCGAUGGGAUUAGCUAGUAGGUGGGGUAACGGCUCACCUAGGCGACGAUCCCUAGCUCGUCUGAGAGGAUGACCAGCAACACUGGAACUGAGACACGGGCCAGACGCCUACGGGAGGCAGCAGGGGGGAAUAUUGCACAAUGGGAGCAAGCCUGAUGCAGCCAUGCCGCGUGUAUGAAGAAGGCCUGCGGGUUGUAAAGUACUUUCAGCGGGGAGGCGUUACCCGCAGAAGAAGCACCGGCUAACUCCGUGCCAGCAGCCGCGGUAAUGC